AGCAGUAGCCGCGGUAAAACGAAGGGGGCUAGCGUUGUUCGGAAUUACUGGGCGUAAAGCGCACGUAGGCGGAUAUUUAAGUCAGGGGUGAAAUCCCGCAGCUCAACUGCGGAACUGCCUUUGAUACUGGGUAUCUUGAGUAUGGAAGAGGUUAGUGGAAUUGCGAGUGUAGAGGUGAAAUUCGUAGAUAUUCGCAGGAACACCAGUGGCGAAGGCGGCUAACUGGUCCAUAACUGACGCUGAGGUGCGAAAGCGUGGGGAGCAAACAGGAUUAGAUACCCCUGUAGUCCCUGUCUCUUAUAC
rnacentral:rRNA from 1 species